UUUUUAUUUAGGAUUAAAAAUGUUUCAUAAUUUAAUAGGAAGACUCAAAUGGGGAUAAUUCAACCAAAGUAAAAUUUAAAUGUUGAUAUUUACAGUAAUUUCUUUUCUUCUUAAAAUUCAUUGUUUUUGAGAACUCAGAACUAUUUUCACAAUUACUGACUUUUCAAAUUUGCGUUUUGUUAAGCAAUACGAGGAUUCUCUCCACCACAUAGAAUCUGCAGUUUUGAAGAGGCAAAGGGUUUGGAUAGGAUCAAUGAGAGAAUGCCACCCCGGAAAGAUGCUGUGCAGCAAGAUGGUUUCAAUUCCCUGAACACCGCACAUACCACUGAGAACCACGGGACUGGCAACCAUAGUGCCCAGUGACCAGCGGCUUCCCAGGGACUCUCACAUCUUGGGCCCCAAAUGGACAGAUCACUUCAAGGAGCUGGAGGGGUUGACCAAGGUGAUGAUAAAUGUCAUAAUCUCUCUGAAGAAACCAUUGUGCUUUCUGAGAUCCGUGCCCCCUUCCUGGAUGGAGGCUUGAGGGCCCUGGGACUUGUGCCGUCUAUAAGAUUGGGUAAUCGCUGCCACAGAGGAGAGCAGUGAGCAAGGGGCUUGGGGCAAUUUCCAGUGGAGGAUAUCUACACCUCCAUUUAUGCUUGUGGUUCACACAUUUACGUUUACAAAUGAGAUUUCCUUUGUUUUUCCCCUCAGUAGAAUUAGACAUUUUUCAACCAUGACUUUAAAUACAAUCUUUAGAGAUAACGUGGAACUCCCCCCAUCACCCUCACCCCAUGAAAUGUCUUUAAAAGGAUGGAUUAGCAUGGUCUUAAAAUAUAUUUCUGAGGUUACUAGAUGUAUUUUGACUUGUAGACAAAAUCUGAGAAACCCAGUUGGUGUUUAUAUAAAAUGCUGACCUCAGGUUAUAGUUCUUAAAUGUGGCUAAUUCUGUAACAUAGUCUUGGUAUUUUUCAAUUAUGAAUGCAUAAACUAUUUCUAAGAAGACUCUUACUUGAACAAAAUCCAAAAACCAAUUUAGAUUCUUUUUUGCCCAUAUCUUUUGUGAUUUACACCCCAGAGAUUUAAGGAAAAAACAAAAACAAAACAAAAUGAAAUUUUAAAAUUAUGAAGAAUUACAGAAUUACUCAUUUAAGGUACUUUAAAAGAAGUUUGUACAUUGUCAAAGUAAAUUUUAAUUCAAAUCAUGUCUGUAAAACUUGACGUAUUUUGUGUAUGCAUGUUUUCAUUUUGCAAAUAUUUAAUAUAUAGACCUAUGAUGUACAGGUACAACAUGUAUAGGUUACGUAGAUAUUAUGAGAAAUUUUAGUUUAUUGUGAGUACUCCAGUUGCUUUAAAAACCACCAGGGUGAUUUGCUGCUGGCUUUGUAUCAUCUUUAUGUUUAAAUGCAAAGGAAAUUAAAAAUGUCUGGAAAUGUUUUUGACUAAGUAAUGCAGCCUAGAAGCAAUGGUUCUCUUCAACCCUUCAGAUGUCUAGUGGAAGCAUAAAAGUCAAGACUGCAUGUCGAAAUUUUACUUUUGAUAGUUACAGAACUGCUUGGUUAAACUAAAUGGAACCAUGUGCUAAUUUUACAGUGACUGACCUGUACUGAUUACCACUGUAGUUUGGUAUUUCCCUUUACUUUGGUGGCCUGCUUCCCUCAUGCCCUGGAGUACAGCUCAUAGCACCAGGCAGCGGAACCAUCUGUUGUUUUGUUUGCCAGAAAGUGCAGCCUGUAUGGUCUUCUGUCUAAGUUGGAAAUAUUAUGCAUGUGCAGGACUAUUCAAGUAUUUUAUAAACAGUAGCACACAAUAAAUUCCAUGCAUGGGCCGCUGCUCCUAUCUCUGUGUUGGGUUUUAUUUGGAAGAUGUAGUCUGAUAUAACCUUUUUAUGCAAAUUGUAAAAUCUCUGUUAACAAAGCUAGGAUAUUUUUAGAAAUUAUCCUAUAGAUAAUUAAUGAUGAUUUCAUGAGUUAAAUUCUUGUCUCCAUAAAUUUUGUUUUCCCCUUCAACUUUUGUUAUACUUUUUUAUUUAAUAUGAGUAGUUGAGUAUUAAAGAACUUUGGAUUCCUAUAAUAAUUUUCCAAAAUAUAAUAUAAUAUUGGAGUGGUAGGGUGCUUGUCAGUCAUGUGCAAAGCUCCAGGUUCUACACCUAGUACUAUAUGUAAAAUAAAAGUCACUAUUUUCACCAACUCUGGGUUAGAAGAGAUGUUCUAGUCUUGAACUUUGUUAGAGUGAUACUGAUAAAUUGGGUAUUUUAGCAAUAAGCCAAAAUACUAAUAGUAGCUUGCUUUGCCUCCUCUGCCAUUGUUGAAUUGAGUAUAACAUUGUGCAAAUUGAGAAAUUACUCACAAUAUAUAAUAUGGCAAGUAACUUUAAACAGUGGCUAUGAGACACAUAAGGCAUCGUUUUAUAUCAAAAUGUAUAUUCUAGGCAAAUUCCAGUUAAAAACAAUCUAAAUUGUUUAUUAUAGUGUCUAAUGCAAUAUUAAAUUGUAAACCAAUCCAUUAGCUGUCUCUAAAAUUACUGUGUAAUAUAAACUUUGAAAAUUUUUCCU
rnacentral:lncRNA from 1 species